rnacentral:misc_RNA from 1 species
GAUGAAGAACGCAGCGAAAUGCGAUAAGUAAUGUGAAUUGCAGAAUUCAGUGAAUCAUCGAAUCUUUGAACGCAACUUGCGCUCUCUGGUAUUCCGGAGAGCAUGCCUGUUUGAGUGUCAUGAAAUCUCAACCAUUAGGGUUUCUUAAUGGCUUGGAUUUGGAGGCUGCCAUUCUAAAUGGCUCCUCUUAAAGGAGUUAGCAAGUUUUACUAUUGCUAUCUGGCGUAAUAAGUUUCGCUGGAAUGGUAUUGUGAAGCGUGCUUCUAAUCGUCUUCGGACAAUUACUUUGACUCUGGCCUCAAAUCAGGUAGGACUACCCGCUGAACUUAAGCAUAUCAAUAAGCGGAGGA